UAGGGAAUAUUGGGCAAUGGGCGCAAGCCUGACCCAGCAACGCCGCGUGAAGGAAGAAGGCCCUCGGGUUGUAAACUUCUUUUAUCAAGGACGAAGCAAGUGACGGUACUUGAUGAAUAAGCCACGGCUAACUACGUGCCAGCAGCCGCGGUAAUACGUAGGUGGCAAGCGUUAUCCGGAUUUACUGGGUGUAAAGGGCGUGUAGGCGGGACUGCAAGUCAGAUGUGAAAACCAUGGGCUCAACCCAUGGCCUGCAUUUGAAACUGUAGUUCUUGAGUGUUGGAGAGGCAGGCGGAAUUCCGUGUGUAGCGGUGAAAUGCGUAGAUAUACGGAGGAACACCAGUGGCGAAGGCGGCCUGCUGGACAAUAACUGACGCUGAGGCGCGAAGGCGUGGGGAGCAAACAGGAUUAGAUACCC
rnacentral:rRNA from 1 species